AGUGAACGCUGGCGGUAGGCCUAACACAUGCAAGUCGAACGGCAGCACAGUAAGAGCUUGCUCUUACGGGUGGCGAGUGGCGGACGGGUGAGGAAUACAUCGGAAUCUACUUUUUCGUGGGGGAUAACGUAGGGAAACUUACGCUAAUACCGCAUACGACCUACGGGUGAAAGCAGGGGAUCUUCUGACCUUGCGCGAUUGAAUGAGCCGAUGUCGGAUUAGCUAGUUGGCGGGGUAAAGGCCCACCAAGGCGACGAUCCGUAGCUGGUCUGAGAGGAUGGUCAGCCACACUGGAACUGGGACACGGUCCAGACUCCUAAGGGAGGCAGCAGUGGGGAAUAUUGGACAAUGGGCGCAAGCCUGAUCCAGCCAUACCGCGUGGGUGAAGAAGGCCUUCGGGUUGUAAAGCCCUUUUGUUGGGAAAGAAAAGCAGCAGGUUAAUACCCCGCUGUUCUGACGGUACCCAAAGAAUAAGCACCGGCUAACUUCGUG
rnacentral:rRNA from 1 species